GCAAACACAUUCCAGCCAAUCAGCAGCAGACCCUCCCUCUCAGACCCUCCCACCUCCUGGACAGCUCACUAAGAAUGCAGCUUCAAAAUGGAUGCUGUCCAGGAGUUGGGAGGGUCUGGGAGGGAGGGUCUGCUGCUGAUUGGCUGGAAUGUGUCUG